CCGGACGGUGGCCAUGGAAGUCGGAAUCCGCUAAGGAGUGUGUAACAACUCACCGGCGGAGUAACUAUGACUCUCGCCUCGUCAUCUAAUUAAGUCAAGCGUUCAUAGCGACAUUGAUUGUUCACCCACUGAACUUAGUACGAGAGGAACAGUUC
rnacentral:rRNA from 1 species